rnacentral:piRNA from 1 species
AGUGGCAUUGUACGUGGACCUAGAUGA